rnacentral:misc_RNA from 1 species
UGGCUCUGGCAUCGAUGAAGAACGCAGCGAAAUGCGAUAAGUAGUGUGAAUUGCAGAAUUCAGUGAAUCAUCGAAUCUUUGAACGCACAUUGCGCCCUCUGGUAUUCCUCAGGGCAUGCCUGUUCGAGCGUCAUCUUCCCCCUCAAGCCAUGCUUGGUGUUGGGCGUCCGUCCCGCCUCCGGCGUGGACCCGCCUCGAAUCCAUUGGCGGCCGGUAUAUCCCGGGCUACGAGCGCAGCACAUUGGCGUCUCGACCCGCCUCACCGGCGUCCAGCAAGCGACGACCACAGUAUUGACCUCGGAUCAGGUAGGGAUACCCGCUGA